AUGAACGCUGGCGGCGUGCUUAACACAUGCAAGUCGAACGAGGUAGCAAUACCUAGUGGCGGACGGGUGAGUAACGCGUAGGUAAUCUGCCCCUCGGUGGGGACACCCAGUCGAAAGACUGGCUAAUACCGCAUACGCUGGCCCUUUGAAAUAGGGGUCAGGAAAGGUUUACUGCCGAGGGAUGAGCCUGCGUCUGAUUAGCUAGUUGGUGAGGUAACGGCUCACCAAGGCGACGAUCAGUAGCUGGUCUGAGAGGACGAUCAGCCACACUGGAACUGAGACACGGUCCAGACUCCUACGGGAGGCAGCAGUGGGGAAUUUUCCGCAAUGGGCGAAAGCCUGACGGAGCAACGCCGCGUGGGUGAUGAAGGAUUUCGGUCUGUAAAGCCCUUUCAGUCGGGACGAGACGAAGACGGUACCGACAGAAGAAGCAUCGGCUAACUACGU
rnacentral:rRNA from 1 species